rnacentral:rRNA from 1 species
AGAGUUUGAUCAUGGCUCAGAAUCAACGCUGGCGGCGCGCCUAACACAUGCAAGUCGAACGAGAAAGCAGGAGCAAUCUUGUGAGUAAAGUGGCGUACGGGUGAGUAACACGUGGAUUAUCUACCCUCUUGUGGGGGAUAACCCUGGGAAACCGGGGCUAAUACCGCAUAAGCUCGAGAGAGGAAAGCAGCAAUGCGCAGGAGGAGGAGUCCGCGGCCGAUUAGCUAGUUGGUAGGGUAAAAGCCUACCAAGGCUACGAUCGGUAGCCGGCCUGAGAGGGCACACGGCCACACUGGCACUGAAACACGGGCCAGACUCCUACGGGAGGCAGCAGUGGGGAAUCUUGCACAAUGGGGGCAACCCUGAUGCAGCGACGCCGCGUGAGCGAUGAAGCCCUUCGGGGUGUAAAGCUCUUUCGGCAGGGAAGAUUAUGACGGUACCUGCAGAAGCAGCUGCGGCUAACUACGUGCCAGCAGCCGCGGUAAUACGUAGGCAGCAAGCGUUGUUCGGAGUUACUGGGCGUAAAGGGUGUGUAGGCGGUUCUCUAAGUCUGGUGUGAAAUCUCCCGGCUCAACUGGGAGGGUGCGCCGAAAACUGGAGGACUAGAGUGCGGGAUGGGAGAGUGGAAUUCCUGGUGUAGCGGUGAAAUGCGUAGAUAUCAGGAGGAACACCUGUGGUGUAGACGGCUCUCUGGACCGCAACUGACGCUGAGACACGAAAGCGUGGGUAGCAAACAGGAUUAGAUACCCUAGUAGUCC